UUUUCGGAGAGUUUGAUCCUGGCUCAGGACGAACGCUGGCGGCGUGCCUAAUACAUGCAAGUCGAGCGAACAGAAGGGAGCUUGCUCCCGGAUGUUAGCGGCGGACGGGUGAGUAACACGUGGGUAACCUGCCUGUAAGACUGGGAUAACUCCGGGAAACCGGAGCUAAUACCGGAUAGUUCCUUGAACCGCAUGGUUCAAGGAUGAAAGACGGUUUCGGCUGUCACUUACAGAUGGACCCGCGGCGCAUUAGCUAGUUGGUGGGGUAAUGGCUCACCAAGGCGACGAUGCGUAGCCGACCUGAGAGGGUGAUCGGCCACACUGGGACUGAGACACGGCCCAGACUCCUACGGGAGGCAGCAGUAGGGAAUCUUCCGCAAUGGACGAAAGUCUGACGGAGCAACGCCGCGUGAGUGAUGAAGGUUUUCGGAUCGUAAAGCUCUGUUGUUAGGGAAGAACAAGUGCGAGAGUAACUGCUCGCACCUUGACGGUACCUAACCAGAAAGCCACGGCUAACUACGUGCCAGCAGCCGCGGUAAUACGUAGGUGGCAAGCGUUGUCCGGAAUUAUUGGGCGUAAAGGGCUCGCAGGCGGUUUCUUAAGUCUGAUGUGAAAGCCCCCGGCUCAACCGGGGAGGGUCAUUGGAAACUGGGAAACUUGAGUGCAGAAGAGGAGAGUGGAAUUCCACGUGUAGCGGUGAAAUGCGUAGAGAUGUGGAGGAACACCAGUGGCGAAGGCGACUCUCUGGUCUGUAACUGACGCUGAGGAGCGAAAGCGUGGGGAGCGAACAGGAUUAGAUACCCUGGUAGUCCACGCCGUAAACGAUGAGUGCUAAGUGUUAGGGGGUUUCCGCCCCUUAGUGCUGCAGCUAACGCAUUAAGCACUCCGCCUGGGGAGUACGGUCGCAAGACUGAAACUCAAAGGAAUUGACGGGGGCCCGCACAAGCGGUGGAGCAUGUGGUUUAAUUCGAAGCAACGCGAAGAACCUUACCAGGUCUUGACAUCCUUUGACAACCCUAGAGAUAGGGCUUUCCCUUCGGGGACAGAGUGACAGGUGGUGCAUGGUUGUCGUCAGCUCGUGUCGUGAGAUGUUGGGUUAAGUCCCGCAACGAGCGCAACCCUUGAUCUUAGUUGCCAGCAUUCAGUUGGGCACUCUAAGGUGACUGCCGGUGACAAACCGGAGGAAGGUGGGGAUGACGUCAAAUCAUCAUGCCCCUUAUGACCUGGGCUACACACGUGCUACAAUGGACAGAACAAAGGGCUGCGAGACCGCAAGGUUUAGCCAAUCCCAUAAAUCUGUUCUCAGUUCGGAUCGCAGUCUGCAACUCGACUGCGUGAAGCUGGAAUCGCUAGUAAUCGCGGAUCAGCAUGCCGCGGUGAAUACGUUCCCGGGCCUUGUACACACCGCCCGUCACACCACGAGAGUUUGCAACACCCGAAGUCGGUGAGGUAACCUUUAUGGAGCCAGCCGCCGAAGGUGGGGCAGAUGAUUGGGGUGAAGUCGUAACAAGGUAGCCGUAUCGGAAGGUGCGGCUGGAUCACCUCCUUUCU
rnacentral:rRNA from 1 species